GAAAAAAAAAAAGAAGAAGAAAAAAAAAAAGAAAAUAAUGAAUGUAUUAACAUUGAGGGAGAAACACAUAAUAGGCCUGAUAUUGUAUAUGGAUCUGAAGAUACUGGUUAUAAUUUAAAGGAAGGUGAAAUUAAAAAAAGACGGAUUGAAGAAAAUAAUAAUAUGAUAGAUGGUAAUACAAGAGGUGGGAAUAGAAGAGGAGGGAAUAGAAAAAGUAGUGUAACAAGAAUUGGUAAUACUAUAUAUGGUAAUACUAUAUAUGAUAACACAAAUCGUGAGAAUACGAGAAGUAAAAAUGCAACAUUUGAAAACACAAAAUAUAAUAAUACGACAGAUGAAAACACAAAAUAUAGUAGUACCAUAGGUGGGAAUACGAUAAAUGAUAAUACAAAAGGUGGAAAUAGAAGAGGGGGGAAUAGAAGAGGUAGUGCAACAAAAGUUGGUAAUACAACUGAUAGUAAUAUAAACUGUGGGAAUACGAGAAGCGGAAAUACGAGAUGUGGAAAUACGAGAAGUGGAAAUACGAGACGUGGAAAUAAGAGAAGUGGAAAUACGAGAAGUGGAAAUAAGAGAAGUGGAAAUAAGAGAAGUAGAAAUACGAGAAGUGGAAAUACGAAAAGUGAAAAUACGAAAAGUGAAAAUACGAGAAGUGGAAAUCAGAGAAGUAAAGAUGUGACAGGUGAAAACACAAAAGAUAGUAAUGCGAUUGGUGGGAAUACGAAAAGUGAUAAUACGAAAGGUGGAAAUAGAAGAGGAGGAAAUAGAAGAAGUAGUGUAACAGUAGUUGGUAAUGCGACAGUUGGUAAUGCGACAGGUGGUAAUGCGAAAAAUGAUAAACCAUAUGAAAUACAAGUAGAAGAUACUGCAAAAUGUCAAAGCACAUUUGUAACUGCACAUUCCAAUGUAACAACACAAGACCACACACCUGAUAAUAAAUUGGAAAACAAUGACCAAAAAAAAGCAGAAAACGAGAGAAAAAAAAAUAAUAUCAUAUCAAAUACACAUACAAAAAGAAAAUACAGUAUCCGUUUGUACAAUAUAAGAACGCAAAAUGAAAAAGUCAUCACUAGUGAACAUUUUAACUUAGAAGUUACAAAUCUAUAUGAAAACAAUGUAAAUAAAAAUAAUCAAGACAAUAUGGUUAAAGAUAAUAUUAUUCAUGGACAAAGAAUGAUGACCCGAAGUUGUAGAGGUGAAGAAGAAGAAAUUAAUAAGAACAUCAAAAUCGUUAGUAAAAAUAAUGGUUUUGAUAUAGUGGAAAGUAAAAAUACGCAGUGCGAAGAAGAUAACAAAAAUGAUGUAAAUAACUCAAAUGAAAAAAAUGAUAAAGUCAUAGAGAAUAACAUGAAUAGACAAAUUGAAGAAAAUAAUAACGAUAAACAAGACAAGCAGGAUGAUGAUGAAAAAAACAAAAAUAAUGGCAACGAGGACAAAGGAUCUACCAACAGUGAAACAUUAAAUAAAAUUAAUGUAAAAAAAAAAAUAAAUAAAUAUGUUAAUGCAGGGGACAUAGAAGAAAGGACAUGUAAUAUAUGCAAAGCAAUAUUUGUAACUACUAGAGUAUGUAAAAGACAUGUGAUUUGUAUGCAUUCAAAUGAAAAACCAUACAAAUGUGAGACAUGUUUAAUGACUUUUAACAGGUCAGAUAAAUUAAAAGUACAUAUGAAAAAACAUAAUAUAAAUAAAGAAGAAAAAUUGCUUCAGUAUUCAAUACAUCAUUUAUUAUCUGCAAAAAAUUUCCAAAUAUGUAAUGACAAUAGAAAUAAUGACCAUAAUAUUAAUAACCAUUCGUGUAGUAAUACUACUGAAGAUUUAAACAAAAAUAACACAGAAGUAGAUGACGGGUUACCAAUUAGUGUAGGAAAGCAAGAUGAAUUUAAUAAAACUUUUGAAACGAGUGAUAAAGAAACAUUAAAAAAGAGUAAUAAUGAAAAUGACAUAUAUAAAGGAGUAGAGAUAGAUAGUACAAGUUGUAGUAAAGAUUUCGGAAUGAACAAAUCAGGAUCUAUGGAUAUGGGUAAUGAUAAUGACGUUGUGGGUUGCGUAGUUGUAAAUGCGGAUUCGGGUGAGCAUGCGACAUCAGGUAAGCAUGCGACAUCAGGUAAGCAUGCGACAUCAGGUAAGCAUGCGACAUCAGGUAAGCAUGCGACAUCAGGUAAGCAUACAACACCAGGGGAGCAUACAACACCAGGUGAGCAUACAACACCAGGUGAGCAUACAACACCAGGUGAGCAUACAACAUCAGGUGAGCAUACAACAUCAGGUGAGCAUACAACAUCGGGUGAGCAUACAACAUCGGAUGAGCAUACAACAUCGGGUGAGCAUACAACAUCGGGUGAGCAUACAACAUUAGUUGGAUGCACCGAAUCGACUGGAAAUGAACAUACAAAUACACAAAAGGACGAAAUUGACAAUUUAAAUGAUAAUAACGAUUCAUUGGAGGAAAGGACAUGUAUUGUAUGUCAUCAAAUAUUAGCUAACAAAAAAUUAUUAAAAAGGCAUUUGUCAAGUGUACAUUUAAUGGCUAGGCCAUAUACAUGUAAUACGUGUUCUAGAAGUUACAAAAGAAGAGACCAUUUAAAAAGACACUUAUGUUCACACGAUGAUGAUUAUGAUAAUAUUGAUGAUAAUGAUAAUAAUGACAUUGGUAUUAAUAAUUUUAAUAGUAAUAGUGGUUCAGAAAAGAAAAUUAAAAAAAGA
rnacentral:lncRNA from 1 species